CCUACGGGAGGCAGCAGUGAGGAAUAUUGGUCAAUGGUCGGGAGACUGAACCAGCCAAGCCGCGUGAGGGAUGAAGGUACAGAGUAUCGUAAACCUCUUUUGUCAGGGAACAAAGGCGGGUACGCGUCUCCGGAUGAGUGUACCUGAAGAAAAAGCAUCGGCUAACUCCGUGCCAGCAGCCGCGGUAAUACGGAGGAUUCGAGCGUUAUCCGGAUUUAUUGGGUUUAAAGGGUGCGAAGGCGGUCUGUUAAGUCAGCGGUAAAAGCCCGGGGCUCAACCCCGGCCCGCCGUUGAAACUGGCAGUCUAGAGAUGGAGAGAAGUAUGCGGAAUGUGUGGUGUAGCGGUGAAAUGCAUAGAUAUCGCGCAGAACUCCGAUUGCGAAGGCAGCAUGCCGGCUCCACACUGACGCUGAGGCACGAAAGCGUGGGUAGCGAACAGGAUUAGAUACCCGAGUAGUC
rnacentral:rRNA from 1 species